AUUGAACGCUGGCGGCAGGCCUAACACAUGCAAGUCGAGCGAGCGGCGGACGGGGGGGUAUUGUAUGGGGACUCCCGGUUGGGGGGGGAUAACUACUGGAAACGGUGGCUAAUACCGCCAACUGUCGAAUAACCCUUAUGGGUUUAGCUAUUGGGUAAGGUAAUGGCUUACCUAGGCGACGUUCCCUAGCUGGUCUGAGAGGAUGAUCAGCCACACUGGGACUGAGACACGGCCCAGACUCCUACGGAGGCAGCAGUGGGGAAUAUUGCACAAUGGGCGCAAGCCUGAUGCAGCCAUGCCGCGUGUAUGAAGAAGGCCCUAGGGUUGUAAAGUACUUUCAGUCGGGAGGCGUUACCGACAGAAGAAGCACCGGCUAACUACGUGCCAGCAGCCGCGGUAAUUC
rnacentral:rRNA from 1 species